rnacentral:rRNA from 1 species
UACGUAGGCAGCGAGCGUUGUUCGGAGUUACUGGGCGUAAAGAGUGCGUAGGCGGUUUUCUAAGUUUGGUGUGAAAUCUCCCGGCUUAACUGGGAGGGUGCGCCGAAGACUGGAAGGCUUGAGUAUGGGAGAGGUAAGCGGAAUUCCAGGUGUAGCGGUGAAAUGCGUAGAUAUCUGGAGGAACACCGGUGGCGAAGGCGGCAUUCUGGACCGAUAUUGACGCUGAGGAGCGAAAGCCAGGGGAGCAAACGGG